rnacentral:rRNA from 1 species
GCCAAGUAGCGUGAAGGAUGACGGCUCUAUGGGUCGUAAACUUCUUUUAUAUGGGAAUAAAGUGGAGUAUGUAUACUUUUUUGUAUGUACCAUAUGAAUAAGGAUCGGCUAACUCCGUGCCAGCGAGCCGCGGUAAUA